rnacentral:rRNA from 1 species
GGGGAAUAUUGGACAAUGGGGGAAACCCUGAUCCAGCAAUGCCGCGUGAGUGAUGAAGGCCUUCGGGUUGUAAAGCUCUUUUGUCAGGGACGAUGAUGACGGUACCUGACGAAUAAGCUCCGGCUAACUUCGUGCCAGCAGCCGCGGUAAUACGAGGGGAGCUAGCGUUGUUCGGAAUUACUGGGCGUAAAGGGCGUGUAGGCGGUACCAUAAGUCAGAUGUGAAAGCCCUAGGCUUAACCUAGGAGGUGCAUUUGAUACUGUGGAACUAGAGAUCGAGAGAGGAAAGUGGAAUUACGAGUGUAGAGGUGAAAUUCGUAGAUAUUCGUAAGAACACCAGUGGCGAAGGCGACUUUCUGGCUCGAUACUGACGCUAAGGCGCGAAAGCGUGGGGAGCAAAC